rfam:Oryctolagus cuniculus chromosome 12, whole genome shotgun sequence.
GGUGCUGUGGCGAAGCAGGUUAACGCCCUGGCCUGAAGCGCCAGCAUCCCAUAUGGGCACUAGUUCUAGUCCUGGCUGCUCCU